UACGUAGGGGGCUAGCGUUGUCCGGAAUCAUUGGGCGUAAAGGGCGUGCAGGCGGUUUGUUAAGUCUAGGGUGAAAGCUCCCGGCUCAACUGGGAGAGGUCCUUGGAUACUGGCAGACUUGAGGAGGGUAGAGGAGAGUGGAAUUCCCGGUGUAGUGGUGAUAUGCGUAGAUAUCGGGAGGAACACCAGUGGCGAAGGCGGCUCUCUGGGCCGAUACUGACGCUGAGGAGCGAAAGCGUGGGGAGCGAACAGG
rnacentral:rRNA from 1 species